AGCAGCCGCGGUAAUUCCAGCUCCAAUAGCGUAUAUUAAAGUUGUUGCAGUUAAAAAGCUCGUAGUUGAAUUUCGGGAUCAAGUCGUCGGUCGUGCUCAAGUACGUACUGGCGUCAUUGAUUUCUCCCUUCUGACGAACCAUGAUGUCAUUAAUUUGGUGUUAUGGGAAAUCAGGACUGUUACUUUGAAAAAUUAGAGUGUUUAAAGCAGGCUCACGCUUGAAUACAUUAGCAUGGAAUAAUGAAAUAGGACGUUCGAUCCUAUUUUGUUGGUUUUAGGAUCAACGUAAUGAUUAAUAGGGAUAGUUGGGGGCAUUAGUAUUCAAUUGUCAGAGGUGAAAUUCUUGGAUUUAUUGAAGACUAACUACUGCGAAAGCAUUUGCCAAGGAUGUUUUCAUUAAUCAAGAACGAAAGUUAGGGGAUCGAAGACGAUCAGAUACCGUCGUAGUCUUAACCAUAAACUAUGCCGACUAGGGAUCGGAUGAUGUUAAUUUU
rnacentral:misc_RNA from 1 species